CCUACGGGAGGCAGCAGUGAGGAAUAUUGGUCAAUGGGCGCUAGCCUGAACCAGCCAAGUAGCGUGAAGGGUGACUGCCCUAUGGGUUGUAAACUUCUUUUAUAGGGGAAUAAAGUGCAGUAUGUAUACUGCUUUGCAUGUACCUUAUGAAUAAGGAUCGGCUAACUCCGUGCCAGCAGCCGCGGUAAUACGGAGGAUCCGAGCGUUAUCCGGAUUUAUUGGGUGUAAAGGGAGCGUAGGCGGGUUGAUAAGUCAGUUGUGAAAGUUUGCGGCUCAACCGUAAAAUUGCAUUUGAUACUGGCAUCCUUGAGUACAGUAGAGGUAGGCGGAAUUCGUGGUGUAGCGGUGAAAUGCUUAGAUAUCACGAAGAACACCGAUGGCGAAGGCAGCCUGCUGGACUGUAACUGACGCUGAGGCGCGAAAGUGUGGGUAGCAAACAGGAUUAGAUACCCGGGUAGUC
rnacentral:rRNA from 1 species